GCUGGCUCGCUAGCUUGGUUAGAUGUCCAGAUCCGCUGUAAAAAACCAUGGAUGCACGACACAAAACCCCGGAUGAAGGCCCUGUGCUGACAAGCGUGAAUACUAAAGAGAAAACUCUUCCAGCAAGCCACGCUGCGGAACCGGGGGAUUAAAUAUCGGCUGACGAUGGACACAUCAACUACUACAAUGGCCCCUGUUCAUCAGCCAAGCAUCACCCUCCCUGGUUACACCCCUGGAGGAAAGUGAAGUAUGGGGCCACCUUGUGCCGCCCAAGGAGGGCCAGUUCGUUAUCAUCCCUCUGUCUGCGGGUGGGGUAUCGCAGGAGGUGCUCUUGGCUCGUGACGAGCAGAAUAAGCAGAAGAAGAAUGUCAUCUGGACUCUGCAGUACUCCUGAACCUCUACUGUCGAGGCUGAAAUGAAGGUGACGAGCCACAGCUGGAACACACUGGAAAAACGUACCCAGAAAUGGUUACGAUGGGGGAGAAAUCCUCAAUAGCCGAUGGCCCCAGGGGGAGCCAAGGGUGCAAGUAUG